GACGAACGCUGGCGGCGUGCUUAACACAUGCAAGUCGAACGGCAAGGCCUGCUUUCCCUUGUGUAUUGCGGGUACUCGAGUGGCGAACGGGUGAGUAACACGGGAGUUAUCUGCCCCCAACUUGGGUAUAAGCCUGGGAAACUGGGUCUAAUUCCCGAUAGGACUGCAGGGUGGUGCCUGUGGUGGAAAACGAUUUUCUAGUGUGUGGGGAUGAGCUCGCGGCCUAUCAGCGUGUUGGUGGGGUAAUGGCCUACCAAGGCGGCGAUGGGUAGCCGGCCUGUGAGGGUGGACGGCGACAUUGGGACUGGGAUACGGCCCAGACUGCUACGGGAGGCAGCGGUUGGGAAUAGUUGACAAUGGGCGGAAGCCUGAUGCAGCGACGCCGUGUGGGGGACGACGGCCUUCGGGUUGUAAUCUCCUGGCGAAGGCGAGGAAGAGAUCUGGUUGGCAGUGUGGUGACGGUAGUGGUAGAAGAAGCACCGGCUAACUACGUG
rnacentral:rRNA from 1 species